UACGUAGGGGCCAAGCGUUGUCCGGAUUUAUUGGGCGUAAAGAGCUCGUAGGCGGUUCGGUAAGUCGGGUGUGAAACCUCCAGGCUCAACCUGGAGACGCCACCUGAUACUGCUGUGACUCGAGUCCGGUAGGGGAGCGUGGAAUUCCGUGGUGUAGCGGUGAAAUGCGCAGAUAUCAGGAGGAACACCAGCGGCGAAGGCGGCGCUCUGGGCCGGAACUGACGCUGAGGAGCGAAAGCGUGGGUAGCAAACAGG
rnacentral:rRNA from 1 species